rnacentral:rRNA from 1 species
UACGUAGGGCGCAAGCGUUGUCCGGAAUUAUUGGGCGUAAAGAGCUCGUAGGCGGUUUGUCGCGUCUGCUGUGAAAACCUGAGGCUCAACCUCGGGCUUGCAGUGGGUACGGGCAGACUAGAGUGCGGUAGGGGUGACUGGAAUUCCUGGUGUAGCGGUGGAAUGCGCAGAUAUCAGGAGGAACACCGAUGGCGAAGGCAGGUCACUGGGCCG